AUUAAUAAGCGGAAGAAAAGAAACCAACUAGAAUUUCCUUAGUAAUGGCGAAUGAACAGGAAAUAGUUCAUCAUUGAAUCACCUUGCGUUAAGCGAGUGUGAAAUGUAAUGUUUGAACGGAAACUGCAAACAGCACUUUGUGAUCUCAAGUCCAAUUGAAUGUGGCCAAUACCCAUGGCGGGUGUCAGGCCCUUGGUGUGAUCAAAUGGCUGUUAUAGUUUUUGUUUUGGAGUCGGGUUGUUUGAGAUUGCAAUCCUAAGAUGUGUGGUAAACUCCAUACAAAACUAAAUAUAUCUACGAGACCGAUAGCGAACAAGUACCGUGAGGGAAAGUUGAAAAGUACUUUGAAAAGAGAGUUCAAUAGCACGUGAAACUGUACAUUGAAAAGCGGAUGAGAGCACAUGCACUGAAUUAAGUAAUUCACCUUCGUAUUUUGUAUUACUCAAUAUAUAAUAUAUUGAUGUCGAAUUUCAAUGUAUGAAGCGCAUUCUACUUAUUCACAAGCUGUUCAGGUUCAAUGUUGUGCUUGUCACAUGUAUGGCACGAGUAAUCACUAGAUUAUUCCAGGUUCAUGUACAUCGCACAAUAAUAUACCUUAAAACAACGUUUGACAAGCACACAAAUGCCGAUGAGUCGCGUUAAGUUUAUUGCUUUUAAGAAGGCAAUAAYGUUUUCUAGCUUGUCGUUUGCAUACAGCUUUGUCAAACUAUGGAAGAACAGUAAAAUGUGUGCAGUAUCAUCCGAACC
rnacentral:rRNA from 1 species